rnacentral:rRNA from 1 species
UGCAGUCGACGAUGAGCCCUUCGGGGUGGAUUAGUGGCGAACGGGUGAGUAACACGUGGGCAAUCUGCCCUGCACUCUGGGACAAGCCCUGGAAACGGGGUCUAAUACCGGAUAUGACCAUCUUGGGCAUCCUUGAUGGUGUAAAGCUCCGGCGGUGCAGGAUGAGCCCGCGGCCUAUCAGCUUGUUGGUGAGGUAAUGGCUCACCAAGGCGACGACGGGUAGCCGGCCUGAGAGGGCGACCGGCCACACUGGGACUGAGACACGGCCCAGACUCCUACGGGAGGCAGCAGUGGGGAAUAUUGCACAAUGGGCGAAAGCCUGAUGCAGCGACGCCGCGUGAGGGAUGACGGCCUUCGGGUUGUAAACCUCUUUCAGCAGGGAAGAAGCGAAAGUGACGGUACCUGCAGAAGAAGCGCCGGCUAACUACGUGCCAGCAGCCGCGGUAAUACGUAGGGCGCAAGCGUUGUCCGGAAUUAUUGGGCGUAAAGAGCUCGUAGGCGGCUUGUCACGUCGAUUGUGAAAGCUCGGGGCUUAACCCCGAGUCUGCAGUCGAUACGGGCUAGCUAGAGUGUGGUAGGGGAGAUCGGAAUUCCUGGUGUAGCGGUGAAAUGCGCAGAUAUCAGGAGGAACACCGGUGGCGAAGGCGGAUCUCUGGGCCAUUACUGACGCUGAGGAGCGAAAGCGUGGGGAGCGAACAGGAUUAGAUACCCUGGUAGUCCACGCCGUAAACGGUGGGAACUAGGUGUUGGCGACAUUCCACGUCGUCGGUGCCGCAGCUAACGCAUUAAGUUCCCCGCCUGGGGAGUACGGCCGCAAGCUAAAACUCAAAGGAAUUGACGGGGCCCGCACAAGCGGCGGAGCAUGUGGCUUAAUUCGACGCAACGCGAAGAA